GAUGAACGCUGGCGGCGUGCUUAGCACAUGCAAGUCGAACGGAAAGGCCCAAGCUUGCUUGGGUACUCGAGUGGCGAACGGGUGAGAAACACGUGGGUGAUCUGCCCUGCACUUCGGGAUAAGCCUGGGAAACUGGGUCUAAUACCGGAUAGGACGAUGGUUUGGAUGCCAUUGUGGAAAGUUUUUUCGGUGUGGGAUGAGCUCGCGGCCUAUCAGCUUGUUGGUGGGGUAAUGGCCUACCAAGGCGUCGACGGGUAGCCGGCCUGAGAGGGUGUACGGCCACAUUGGGACUGAGAUACGGCCCAGACGCCUACGGGAGGCAGCAGUGGGGAAUAUUGCACAAUGGGCGCAAGCCUGAUGCAGCGACGCCGCGUGGGGGAUGACGGCCUUCGGGUUGUAAACUCCUUUCGCUAGGGACGAAGCGUUUUUGUGACGGUACCUGGAGAAGAAGCACCGGCUAACUACGUG
rnacentral:rRNA from 1 species